UAUUCGUCCCUGCCGGACGGAAAAGCCUGCUGCAGCCCCCGUGAAUCCGCUUCCAUCCCAUAUUGACAACUGUUUUAAUCCGGUGCUAUAGUCAAAAUGUGGGCCAUGCAUACAAGGCGUCUCACAGCAUUUGAAGAUGAAGGGAAUGUUCUGAAUGCAAGGUAAAGUGAAAUGGUUCAAUGCAGAAAAAGGCUACGGAUUCAUCGAGACUGAGCAAGGCGGCGACGUAUUUGUUCAUUUCUCCGCAAUCCAAUCCGAGGGCUUCAAAACCCUGGAAGAAGGCCAAUCCGUCGAGUUCGACAUCGUAGAAGGCGCUCGCGGUCCACAAGCUGCCAACGUAGUCAAACUGUAAUCAUCCGGCCGAUCGGCCAUGCAUAGAUGAUUGACGAGAAUGACAAGUGCCUGUACGGGGCUCUGCAAUUGCAGGGCCUCUUUUU
rnacentral:sRNA from 1 species